GAUGAACGCUGGCGGCGUGCUUAACACAUGCAAGUCGAACGAAGCACUUUAACCUGAUUCUUCGGAUGAAGGUUUUUGUGACUGAGUGGCGGACGGGUGAGUAACGCGUGGGUAACCUGCCUCAUACAGGGGGAUAACAGUUAGAAAUGACUGCUAAUACCGCAUAAGACCACAGAGCCGCAUGGCUCGGUGGGAAAAACUCCGGUGGUAUGAGAUGGACCCGCGUCUGAUUAGGUAGUUGGUGGGGUAACGGCCUACCAAGCCAACGAUCAGUAGCCGACAGGAGAGGGGGCGGGGCAACGGGGGGAAAAAAACCGGCACAAAACACAAGGGGGAGGAGGGAGGGGGAAAUAGGGAAAAAGGGGAAAACCAUUAAGGCAGCGCCGCGGGGGGAAAAAAAAAGUAUUGCGUAAUGAAAAGCCAAAAAAGAAGGAAAAAAAAGAACGGAACCUAAUAAAGAGACACCGAAAAAAUACGGG
rnacentral:rRNA from 1 species